AGCUUCACAUGUGAGAUAAAUGCACUCAGAGACUCCUCACAAGUAGCUCUUUGGAGCUUCAGAUGUGAAAUGGAUCAUUCCUCAAUCUGUAAUAGACCCUUCUGUGAAGCUCUUCAAUCAAACCUGAGAAUUCAAGGUGAAAUGGAGGGGAGACCGGGAAACCCCUACAGGGGGAUUUGAGCAAACUUGCUGAGAAAGGAACCCGGCGGUGUUCGCUGCCUCUUUUUUUUUUUCAGUUUUUUUUCUUGAGAGUGGGAAGGCUGUCAAUCAAUUUGUGACCUUACCCACUGCUUGUGUGCAAUACCUGGGCACAAGGAGACAAGCUGUGGAGGUGCUUGGAUAGGUGCUGUCACAUACACCUUUGAUUUCUUUCCACCUGUCCUUUUUCUCUGACAGUAUUCAGAUUAUUUUUAAAGCGGCUAUUUGAUACAGAUUUAUUACACAGAGUUUCUCUUUCCCCAAAAUUAUUUAUAUCAUUAUAUUUGAGAGGGUGAAAAUUUUCUUGUGAGAACAGCAUUCGUAAUCUUUUUUAAAAAGUUAGUGAUGUAUAAUAACCAGUUUAGUUGGAAAGAAUUGUCAUAGUUUGUGAAGUAGUAGUCCUGGUAAGUGCAUCUUAUUUAGGAAUCGCGUUUGCAGAUCAUGUAAUGACUUUUAAUUAGUUUCUUGCCAGUAAAGCAGUAAGACAAGAGUCACCCCUAGUAAGGAAAACAGCAUCUUCUGAAAUGAGUUUUUGUGCCACAUUUAAAAAAAUGUAUUUGGGGGCACAUUUGCAGUUGGACAUUUCUAGGUUAAUUAAAAACAAAACAAAACAAAACAAAAAAAAACAAAAAAAACAACCUUGAAGAAUUUUCAACGGGGAGCAGGGAGUCCUGACACCAAACUUAGAAAAACUAUGCUUUGGAAUUUAUGUUCAAAUACAGAAUAUGUUUGAUAACAGUUUCUGAUGCUCAAGCUGCUAGGAAAUGAUUGCUAUCCCCUCACUGUAUCAGAGUUUUCCUAAGCCAUCGAGACGGUGUUGUUUGUAAAGCUUGCAUAUUAGUAUAAUCUUAAGAGCAUAUUAAUUGCCCGGGAGGUUUAUGUAUUUGUUCUGCACAUGUGAUUAAAGAUCACGGCAGCUUAUACAGCAUAAUUUUAGAGAUGGAGAAAACGACUAUUGUAAUACUUGCUACUCUCAGUUUCCUCUACAGCAAUGCCCUUACACCUUUCUUUUUCAGGCGUUUUGUAGCAUCCUAAACAGAAGGAUAUUGAAGGGAGCUGAUUCUGCUUUGAUCCUUGUGCUUGUUGUCAAAGCGCUUGGGAUUGAAGAGACUGUUGGCUACAAUUGACUGUGACAAUUAGGAGAUGAUCAGAGCCCUAGAGUGGAGCACUUAAAGGGUAAUUUACAUGUCAGUUUGUCGAAUAAAAAAAAAAAGAUAUUCAGCUAAGAUUUUUUUUUUUUCCCCUCAGAGCCUUGUAAACUGCAAUUUGUGCUCUGGUAAGAAAAACCUGGCAGAGGAGUUAGGAUAGCCAUUACCAUUUGAAAAGAAGCAAUCAUAAGGCCGCUGCUGAGCCCUUUGUCCACUAAAAAUGCUGAUUUGCAGGCAGUGAGUGAAAAAGUGGAACCAUCACUAAAUAAAACCUUGAGCUAGGUAACUACCCCCAUGGCUUUUGGGGGCUUUUAUUGUUGGUUAAAGGUGUUUUUAAAAAACGUAUCUUAAAUCCUAUACUUAUGAUCAUUAUAACAUUGUUAUUGGUCAUGAAUGUCCUUUCCUAAAAAAAUAACAUAAAGGAUACAUUGAGGAAGUGGUAGGUGGAACACAGGCCAACAGUGAAUUGAAAGGCUGAUGCUGGCUAUCGGUUGUAUCUGACUCUCACCCCUUUGUACAGCACCACGAUUUUCCUCCAGUCAAUCCUUUACACUCUAUUUUCCCCCUGCCGUAUCAGUGUGCUCCUAGAUUUUCCCAGUUUUAUUUAUACUCCAAUUUUAAUGUGGGAACUGCAUUUCUAACCAUCACAUAGUUAGCCUAUUUGGGUGUACUUGGCUGAAAAUACAAUGUACUUUCACUCGUGAUUUGCUAUUUAUGUGGUCAUCUCUACACUCUUCUGUUAGGUAAUCCAUAUGCACAAGUAAAAAAGAAAUAGCUACAAAGUGAAAAGAGUAUAAUUGCCACUAAAUAUGAUGAUAGCAAUUACACAUCACCCAUUUAAUUGUCAAAUAAGAAAAAUUAGUUAUUUCAAAAAUUUUUGAGUCUUCCCCCUUCCCUGGAAAUCAUUAAUAAGAAUAAUAGUAAUAAUAAUUAAUGGUCACAUGUAAUUGCAAAAGUUUCAUUUGGAAAGUUAUCUAAAAAAGAAGUUAAUGUGCUCGAGCGUCUGGGUGGCUCGGUUGAGCGUCUCUUGAUCCAGGGUCAUGAUCAGGUCAUGAUCCCAGGGUCAUGGGAUCAAGUCCCACAUUGGGGUCUGCACUGAGAGUGAAACCUUGAGAUUCUCCGUCUCUCUCUCUCUCUCUCUCUCUCUCUCUCUCCCUCUGUCCCCUGCCCUGCUUCUGCUCUCUCUCUCUCUCUCUCUCUUUCUCAAAAUUAAAAAAAAAAAGAAUUUCUAAAAAAAAAAUUAAAAAGAAGUUAAUAUAUCAACCCAACCAUCCUGUGCAGACUUUCUCAAAUUUGGUGUGUGUAUUUAAUUCAGAGAUACACAUUAACUUUCAAUNUCAUGGGAUCAAGUCCCACAUUGGGGUCUGCACUGAGAGUGAAACCUUGAGAUUCUCCGUCUCUCUCUCUCUCUCUCUCUCUCUCUCUCUCCCUCUGUCCCCUGCCCUGCUUCUGCUCUCUCUCUCUCUCUCUCUUUCUCAAAAUUAAAAAAAAAAAGAAUUUCUAAAAAAAAAAUUAAAAAGAAGUUAAUAUAUCAACCCAACCAUCCUGUGCAGACUUUCUCAAAUUUGGUGUGUGUAUUUAAUUCAGAGAUACACAUUAACUUUCAAUGGCAGAUACAUUUUAUAUUCCAUUUUUUGGAUACUUAGCUACGGUGAAGGGCAUUUGAAGAAAGGCAGCCGGUUAGAAAUGAGUUUGUCUUUCUCCUGAAACAUCAGGCUUUAUUCUGAGAGCUAACGGCACACAUGGCCUUCAAAAGCCAAACUUUCCAACAGCCUACUGAUGUUGGCUUAACGUCCUUCAUCUGGACACUCAUGUCCGGUUUUAAGGCUAUCCUGUCAUUAAAGACACUCAUGUCUCCAAAUAAGAGGGCUUCAUUUCUCUUCAUUUAGGUCUGAGACCUUAACAAGAAUUUUUUUUCCCCCUAAGGGAUGCCUUACAAAAGGACUGGCGUUCUACUUGCGGAGGUUUCUGAAAAUCACAAAAGUCAGUGUGGAACUGAUUGAGAGAAGUCAGUAAUUCAUACACAGACACUGGCGCCUCCUCUGACUGCUUUACUGGAAGUCCCUGAACUUCUUAUCCAGUUGUUUUAACUCUACUUUUCCUUGUGUGCAUGCCCCCCUUGCAAAGAAGAACACACAAGCAAGGAAAAACUAAGAAUGAAUAGAUUAGUAAGUGCAAAGAGGAUAAUGAGAGAGGGAGUCAGGGAAGGUUUGGGCUUCCUUUGCCUGUGUCUGCGGAAUGCAGGCAAUGGUAAAUCUGUAUCAAAAAUCAGGCACAGCAGGAGGUGUUCGUCUCCCAGGUAAUGGGUAAAUGAUGAGCAGAUGAGCCGUCCUUGUAUCGAUUUAAGCAUUUUGUUCCAGCCAGUCACAAUUAACUUUGAUUUGUUUUUACUUUCCUCUUAUAGGUUUGCAUUUAAAACGCUCUUGGAGCACUAAUUGUAUGAAAUUCUGGUAGCUGCACAUUCUCUUUUUGGAGAGGUAAUGAGUGAAUGAAUGAAAAGGCAGGGAUCAUUUGCCAUUCUAAGAGCGGGGAUUGUCAGACUAUUUCUACUUGACUGAAAUUGUUUUGGAAGGUGAGCUGGAACAAGAAUCUUGCAACUAAAAUGACGUGACUCUGCAUGUGGUUUUGGGAUGUUUCUCUUCUCUGCAAAGCUGUUCUGGGACUUGGAAGUUGACUUAGAUUUUAUUUAUAAGGUGAAUCCUGUGAAAACAUUUUAAAGUACGCAUCUUUGAGUCUUAACAAGUAGGCGGGAGUCUUUGGAAAGCUCAUUUGGAAUUAUUUGAAAAGACUUUUCCUGUUACUAUCACAGUGUUUUUUCAAUACACAGAUUGCCAGGUUGUGACAAAAUAAAUUAUUGAAAGCUUUGAAAAGUUUUUAGAAAUGUGCCCAAGGAAACAAUAUGCAAAUCGUUAGAGUUAAUUCACAUGUCAAUUUAUUGAAAUGUUGCUACUACUGAGGAGUCCAAGAACCUUUAGCACAACAUUCCAGAACAUUUACAGUCUUGUUUUAAUGAGUAGCUCUUUCUUUGUACUUGUUUGGACGAAGCAAUAGAGUUGCCAGAUAGAGCAAAUAAAAAUAAAGAAUUCCUAGUUAAAUUUGAAUUUCUGAUAAAUAAUGAAUAUUUUUUCAGAUGAGUUGUGUCCCAUGCAAUGUUCCCAUUUUAUCAGGGAGCCCUAGGUGGCACUCUGAUUGGAUAGAAAUUGCAACCAUGCAUUGAAUGGACAAUCUAAUUAUUUAUAAAUUAUAAAUUGUCACUUAUAAAUCAUUUUACCUUUCACUGUCAGAUUAGAUAGGCCAACGAGCUUGCCCCUUUCAAACAGAAACCAAAAGGCUUUUUAACUCAUUAAUGCUGAGUUUAAUUUUCUCCAUCACAUUCCCUGCACAAGCUGUGACUCGUCAUUUCAAGUAUAUAGUAAUUUCUGCCUGACUAACACAAUGGAGACUUCAGAGGACGUGGCUGAGGAGUCUGGCUUAGCCACAUUGGUCAGGCUUUGACUGGAGUGUUUCCUGGUUACGGGGCUAGAGAAUGGAUGAUGCAGUGAGAAUAUCUUAUCUUUGAGCAGCCACAUCUUUCCUUUUGUGGCAAUAGUAUGACUACAUAGGUAACCAAGUUUGGGAUUCCUGUGACUCUGAUCCUAGUAGCAUCUUCUGGGAAAGGAAGGAUUCUGUAUCCUUGAACUGUUAUUUUAUUGUAUUUAACUUGAUUUGCUAUAAUCUGGUUGCCAUGGAAGAAGCUAAGCUAGGGGUGCCUGGGUGGCGCAGUCAGUUAAGCAUCCAACUCUUGGUUUUGGCUCAGGUCAUGAUCUCAGGGUUCAUGAGAUGGAGCCCAUCAUCGGGCUCUGUGCUGGAGCCUGCUUGGGUUGUCCCUCCCUCCCUCUCUCUCUGUCAAAAAAAUAUAUAUAAACUUAAAUUUUAAUGUUUAUUUAUUCUUGAGAGGGAGAGAGACAAGCAGGGGAGGGGCAGAGAGAGAGGGAGGCACAGAAUUGGAAGCAGGCUCCAGGCUAUGAGCUGUCAGCACAGAGCCCGACGCUGGGCUUCAACCCACAAACCACGAGAUCGUGACCUGAGCCGAAGUCGGAUGCUUAACCGACUGAGCCACCCAGGCGCCCCUAAAUAUGUAAACUUUUAAAACAAAAUAGGAAAGAAGCUAAGCUAGAACUGAGAGAAAAUCAUAUAUCUGCUUUCUCUUUGAACCCAGCAUUCAAUUCUGUCACAGUUUGAGCUGUUAUAACAAAGUAUCAUAGACUGUGUGGUUUAUAAACAAUAGACAUUUAUUUCUCACAGUUCUGGAGGCUGGAAGUUUCAGGUCAGAGUGUGGACACGCCAGGCCAUAAGGAGAGCCCUCUUCCACAUUUGCAGGUGUCCAUCUCUGUGUGGCCUCAGACAGUGAAGGGCAGGAACUCUGAUCUCUUUAGUCCCUGAUAAGGGCACUAAUCUCACUGCAGACACUCCACCCUCAUGACCUUACUGUCAUGUUCCAGAGGUCCCACCUCCCCAUACCAUCACAUUAAAGGUCAGGAUUUCAACAAAUGGAUUUUGGGGGGAUGCAGACAUUCAGUCUGUAAUAAUUUUUCACUGUCUUGAUGCUUUUCAUGGUCUGUCAGUAAGACUAUUUGUGGGGCGCCUGGGUGGCUUGGUCAGUUAAGUGUCUGACUCUUGAUUUUGGCUCAGGUCAUGGUCUCAUGGUUUGUGACAUCGAGCCCCAUGUUGGGCUCUGCACUGACAGCGUGGAGCCUGCUUGGGUCUCUCUCUCUCUCUUUCUCUCUCUCUCUGCCCCUCUGUAGCUCACACUCUCUCUCUUUCUCAAAAUAAAUGAAUAAAGUGUUUGUUUUUUUUUUUUAAAGAAAGACUAUUUGUGCAGAAAAGUUUGCAGUCCUGUCUCUCAUCCUCUAAGCCCUCUUUGAUUUCAGUUGUAGCUUCGGUGGAUAUUUCCUCCUAAGUGCAGUCCUCCAGAACAUUGUUGGAGUCUUCCUAAUUUCUGCCUCAGAGUCUCUUCCAGAACUGCAGAAGCCUGCUCAAUGCUUCUUCAAGUUUAGCAUGGAAAUGCGUGGGAGAGUUAACACCCUCAAGGGCAGCCCAAACUGGGGGGGAGACAGGAGCCUGGGGAUCAAUGUUUCAGCCACCUACCUUUCAGACAAGGCAGUUCUGAGAAGCACUCGGCAUGGUCCUCAGAGGUGCUUUCUCCAACAGCAGGAAUCUUAGGUUCCCUUAUGGUACGUUGUUUGGAUUUUCCACCAACCCUACUUUAUUCUCUCCAUGCUCUCGAAUUCCUUGUCACAGGCUCUGUUUCAGGGCAACCCCAGCUCAGACACCCCUGAUGCUACCUCCUUCCCAGCACCAUGGCCCUCUCCUUGCUCUGGGUCUAGAUACUUUGCUUCCUUAGUUCCAUUAAGGUUUCCUUUUCUUAUUAUUAGAGGAAGACAGUUCUGCCACUGUCCCUUCUAUUAAAAUAGAGUCAUAUUGCAAUCACAUCAUGCAUAUUCACCUCACCCAAGGUCCAUUACAAUUAAAGUCACUUUUAAUUGAACACAUACCCCAUGUGAGGGCAUACGCUAAGGGACCCAUGAAUAUUGUUUCAUUUAGUCCUUAGCACAUCACCAAGAAAGAAUCAGUAUUUCUAUUUCACAGAUGAAGAAACUGAGGCUCAGAAAGACUAAGAGGUUUCUUUCUUUCUUUUUUUUAAUGUUUAUUUUUGAGAGAGAGAGAGAGCAUAGGCAGGGGAGGGGCAGAGAGAGAAGGAGACACAGAAUCCAAAGCAGGCUCGAACUUAUGAACGUGGGGCUCGAACUCACAAUCCAUGAGACUGUGACCUGAGCCGAAGUUGGACACACAACCGACUGAGCCACCCGGCUGCCCCGAGAGAUUUCUUUCAAGACCACAAAGCUAAUGGGUGGUAGAAUAAGCAUUAAGUUCUGACCUAUCUACCUCCAAAGCCCAUUUUUUAAAUCAUUGUCCUAUAGAGCUCACCAUAUAACACUCUUAGAAAUUAAAAUUUCCUUGCCAAAUACUAAUAAGAGCAGCUAAAGAGAUGACUGGAUAGGAGGGAGGGACAAGAAUUGGCUUGUACCAAAUAAGGCAAAUUAUUUUUAAAAAAGCUUCUGCUCUUUUGCUCAGGCCUGUGGUGCCAGAAAGGUGGGAAAGGGUAGUGGUCUUCAUACUUCUGGGAAGCUGUGUCACCACCGGUGAGAUUAGAAGUGGCAUGGUGAAUGGCACAAGAAAGCUCAUUUGGGCACAGCCCUGAAGGCGAAACCUUUUGGGGGUACUUCCCGUGCAAAGGGAAUUAUAUUAGAAAAUUGUACUGGAAAAACUAGGGGUUGAAGCCACACAGUCAAAUUCUGCCAUUAGAAAGUGUGUCAGGGUCCAGCUGAUCAAGAACAGGAAAAAAAAAUCACAGUCCUUUUCUUGAAUGAUGGUCGCUGGAGUUUUAUUGAGGAAAAUAGUGAAGUUCUGGUUGCUAGAUUUGGUCACAAAGGUCAUGGUGUUGGUGACAUUCCUGGAGUCUGCCUGAAGGUUGUUUCAUUCAUUCAUUCAUUCAUUCAUUCAUUCAUUCAUUUGAGAAAUAGAGCACAAGAGAGGCAGAGGAACAGAGGAAGAGAGGGGGUGAAUCUUCAGCAGACUUCAUGGUCAGCGUGGAACCCUAUGUGAGGCUCAAUCCCAUGACCCUGGGAUCAUGACCUGUCCCGACAUGAAGAGUCAGACACUCAACCAUCUGAGCCACCAAGGCACCUGUAAGGUUGUUCAAAUAGUCAAUCUCUCUCUUUUGCCUGUAUAUGAAACAAGAAGGAAAGACCAAGAUCUUAAAUUUGGUUCAUGAAAUAUGGCAGUAAUAAAUAUUCAUAUGCCAACAGAAAGCAAAAAAGCCUCCUUUAUCAACUUAUGACUGAACAAUAAUUUGGAGUAUUGGUUUCUUCAUGAGACCUGGAGCUCCACUACUUUCUAUCUUUUCCAGCUCACAGUGCCUUACAUAUGGCAGGACUUGAUGAGUAUACACUGAAUGAAUGAAUUGUAGUAUUAUAGGAUAUAGUUUAAAGUGACUUCAGACAGCUCCAAUUUUUAGUCAUCUGCUUUACUAAACAAUGGACUUUAGCAUCUUUUAAGAUUUGUUACCUGAAAAAAGUAAAAGUUCCAACAGUGUCAUAUAAUUUAAGACAGUGUCUAGAAUAAUGUAAUAACAUGGUUCUCAAUGAAAUAUGGUGACUUCAGGUAAUUUAAGACUAUUGGAGGCAAAGGGAAAGGGAAAGAUUUCAUCUGAUGUUACAAUAUGCACAUGAUUAGAAAGGUCUGGGUGUGCUAGAUUGCAAAGGUCAAGUGAAGCCUCUGUGGAGACAGGGAGAGGCUACUCAGAACAGCCUGGAGAAGAUCUGUUCUCCACUUAGAAAAGAAUGAAAGGGUUACUAGCCCUUCUUUACAACUUAGCUUGGGGGAAAUGGUUCCUCUGUCUGACUGUCUCAAUCUUCUCAAAGUUAACAUAUUUCAUAACUAUUAUAAUUUUGACCUCCUUAUGAACUGACUACAUGUUGGGAUCAAUUCUAUAAACCUAUCAUCUUUAUCCCAUUGCAUCCAUUGAUGUAGAGGUGGGGGUUUACCCAUACAAAUCUUCCCAACUUUUUAGUGGUAGAACAUCACAUUCUGUGACAGGAUGCAACUAUGUGACAGUUUCUAAAGACUUCAUGAGGUUGUUUAGAACAAUAAAAGAGAUGUGUAUGUGCAAUUUCUAUUUGUGCUUGUUGGUUAGUUUCUUGUGGCAACUAUAGUACCGGUAGGCCCUCAAGUGUGAAAGCAGAAAGUACCACAAUCUCAGGGCCAUCAUCACUGGCAGCAUUACCUACACCAAGAAAAUAAUAUCAGAUGUACUGGAUCAUUCCAUGGUUACUAAUGGAAACUACGUAACAAGAAAAAGUCGGUUUUGUCUAUUGGAUGGCAGACGAUAAAAGAGGAGUCUAGUGUUCUGGCACUCAACAUACUGGAUGAAACUACUUUCACACAGAUUCCAUAGAAACUAAAGGAACCUCUCAGUAUGGGUAUAAUGUCUAAAAUUCUACUCGAAGGAUUUUUUUUUUUAAAGUAAGCUCUAGGUGCAAGGUGGGGCUUGAACUCAUGACCCUGAGAUCACGUGUCGCAUGCUCUACUUUCAGAGCCAGCCAGGAGCCCCCAAAGGAUAUUUUUUUUAAGUUCUUCGUACAUGAGAACCAAACUUCUCCUUGCCUACAGAUUAUUUUGACUGGCUGAAUUUUAAUGGAUAACUUAAAAUGUAAGUAACAUAAAAGAAUAUGAUUAUUAUAUGUUUAGUUAUAUACCAGUUACUAUGUCUAAAUGCUAAUUAAGAUUAGGAUAUAUGAAUCAGUGCAGAUAAUAUGUGAAUAAACACGAACUACACAACCGACCCAGUUCGAAAAAUUAGACUCAUAUACACCUUUACAUAACUAAUGCUAACCGUGGGAACAGACUCCAUCCAGAAUAUUUCUAGACCAAAUUUAGGACAGUCCAGGGCAUCUUGUCUCAAAAUGCCUAAAACCGUAUCUGACAUUCAGUCUCCCUGUGUUUAAGUUGAUCUUUGGUUAAUAGCACCCAACCCACUUAAAGGUGUUGGAUAAAUACGAUGGAUGAUACAUAUGUGAAGUAAGCUAUUCAGUAUCGUUAUUAGGAAGACAUCUGUGAAUUUUAACUUUUACUGAUGGAAAAGUUUUCUCUGUACCAAUGCCUCCACGUUAUUUGAUUCAGAACUCUUUUUCAUCCUUGGGGUUUAAAGGUCUGAUGAACCCAAACCCUUUUCCAGCAAAAAGAAACAUAUUUUCUUCUCACACAUACGUUACGUAUAACUGCUGGCAGAGUUGGGACUACUACCGGAAGUUAGGGAUAGUGGUGACAAGCCAUGGAAAUCCACCAGCUACUAUUCAGACACCCAGACACCAAUGAGCACUUUGGGAAGUAGGCCAAGAUGCUUGUAGAAUAGCCAGGCUGUCCUCCUGUAAACGCUAGGACUCAGGAAGAUUGCUUCCACUUUCUUAAGUAGAGAUGACUUUACUUUGGAAUAUUGGCUGUUCUUUCUGUGUAGCAGAUAUCAAGAAGAAAACAGUGGACAGUAAUGAACUUCAAGUUUUAAAAAGCUGACCUUUUGACUACCAUGCAAGUCAGGUUUGACUUUGAUGUAGAAAAGCUCACUAGUUCUUCCUUAGACGAAUGAUGAGCAGCUUGGUUAGGAUUACAGAGUGUUUUGUCCCUGGAUCUCUCUGGUCUAGAGGCCAGACCAACAUACAGGGGCCCUGUAUUUAGCUGUUCUUUGGUUAACAGCACCCUUACAUAACUUCUGCUUGUCACCAGGGACAAGGGAUUAUAUUAUCCCAUAAUUAACUUAUAGACCAGUAGUAUAGUUAUCUUAGUGAGGUGCUGACUUUACAUCUAGGCAACAAUUUAGGCACUGGUAGAAUGUAGCUUAUUAAUUUUUAUAUUGUUAUACAAUUAUUCUCUAAGUGUGAUGAUAUCUGAACACCGUAUUAUUUUAUAAUAUACUUAAUAUAGUACUUAGAGAAUAGGUGACCAAUAACAUUAGUUCAUUCUAACUAAAUAUUACAAGAUUUGCAAACAGAAUGGUUUAGUAGAAUAAAGCAGGCCUCAGGAAAUCUGAUUUCCCAGCAAUCUAGUUAUGUGAACUAGAUUAGUUUUAUUACUUCUCACAUCUCCUUUCCCUAAUAUCUUAAAUAAAGAAAUAGAAACAAAUGAUCUCUUAUUUUUUCUGAGCUCUCUGUUCUAUGCAUUUGCCGAAAGUUGAUUAGGAACACAAUGACCUCAUAUAUACUCUAACUGGAAAGAUAUACUUUCAUUUUUCUUGACCAUUUCAAAGUUUAACAAGUUUUAUUUGGGAUGAGUACUAACAUUUUCUGUGGAACUCUAAGACUACCUUAAGUUUAUGAUUAAAACUUGUUUUUUUACGGAUAGGCAAGAAAUAAUUAAGAAUUUAUAAAUGUUUUGGCCUUGUUCACAUGUGUCAAAAAUCCAGCAAUAAAGAUGAAGGCUUGCUUCAUUUAGAGAAGGGUACACAGGCUUUUGUUAGUUUCAGGAUGAUAACAAGGGGCAGAAUCAUAGAAUGUAGAACUGUCGAUUUAUGUUUGGUACACUGCCAGAAACUACAGGGUCGAAAGAACAUGUCGACUUAUGUAGAUUCUCAAGAUUUUGUUAUCUAGUCUCAGGCUGUAUGACCGUUUGCUGUGACUCAGAGUCUAUUUCUAAUUCUUAAUCUCGGACUGAUACUUAGAAUAAAAAAUAUGAUUGAUUAAAGGCUAGCUGUGAAAUUCAGUAGGUUAGGAAGACAGAUGGCAAGAAAGGUAAAACAUCAAGAAAAGUUAAUUUGUCUGACCAAAAGUAAGAAACAAAUUUAGUGUCGCGUAUUAUUUGAAACACUUGAAACACAUACUCAUUCAUCAAGUCUGAAAAUGUGUUCAGAAUUUGCUGUUUUAAAAGAUUAUUAACUUUUAUAUUUCAGAUCCAUAGCUUCCUUAUUGUUGUAUAAUUGCUGUAUCUUUGAGGUGGGUCACUUUGUCACUAUUUCACACUUGGGAUGGCAAGUUUCAAUAUUAUUGAUGGUCUCAGUAAGUUAAGAUUUGACUAUUCUGAUAGCUUUUAUCGAGCAAAGUUUGCAGUGUUACUAAUAAUGUUUUUCAACACUUAAAUGCUUUAGGUUCUCUUCUUACAAACCCAUAUCCCAUACAUAUUGUGCCUUUCCAUGUCAUUAUGGUUGAUAUUUGUCACUAGGAACUACUCAUCAUUAUAAUGUGCCAAUAAUAAGGCAAUAAAUAGUAUUUCUUUAAAGAAAAGAAAUUUAAGUUUUAUUUAUUUAUUUUGGGAAAGAGACAGUGCAAGCAGGGGAGGGGCAGAGAGAGAGAUUGAGAGAGAGAGAAUCCCAAGCAGACUCUGUGCUGCCAGGGCAGAGCCAGAUGUGGGGCUCACACCCACCAACCGUGAGUGAGAUCAUGACCUGAGCUGAAACCAACAGUAAGAUGCUCAACUGACUGAGCCACCCAGGCAGUAAACAGUAUUAACACCAUGCUAAGCAUUGUAAUUUCCAGAGUUACAAAUACCUAAGUGAUCUAAGGUGGGGCCAAAAGAAGGAAUAGAGGAGACAUUCUAGACUCUAGAUAGAAAACAUUCAAAAAUUGGUUUGAUAUCAAAUUUAGGGAGAAAAUAUGCCAAUUAAAAUGAAUUUUUUAGGAUUCAAUUCAGCACUUGUUACUUAAUAGCAUUUGUCAUUUUCCAAUUUUUUAUAUGUGGCAAAUUAAUUUCAAAUCA
rnacentral:lncRNA from 1 species